AUCACAGGCUUAAAAGUGUCACCUUGUCACAUCCUCCACCUCCAAGCAAGGUUUAUUUCAGAGACUUCUGGAGUAGAUACUGUUUCACAGCCCGUUUCUCUCCACUGUGUUCAUAAUAUCAGGAAAUACCUAGUCAUCCAUCCAGAAGCUUCGGAUUCAUAUUUGACUCAUCUCUUCUCACCUUUGUGGCACUCAUGGAAGAGACCCUUCCAGAUCUUCCCUCAAGAGAAGUCUGUGGCAUGGGAUGCAGGUCUCAGUGAAGACAGAAGAAACAAAAGCGUCACUGUGGAUCCCAUCACAGCAUUGUCGAGAGACCUAUCACUGCCUGCCACCAGAGAGCCAAAGCUUCAUCUUGUCAAAAGCUCAAAAGCCCUGGGAUUUUCCAUUCUUCCUAUCUGUCAUUGUGAAGACACGCACACACUCAUUAGUAAGUUGCUUCUUACUUUUAAUGAGUUAAAAACUUAGAGCCUUUUGGUUAUGGAGAAUGAGCCUGAGCCCUGAGAUCAGUCAAGAGACUUGCUUGUCGGACUUUAUUAUAAAAUUAACUCAUUGUUUAUCCUGCAGAAAGUUAUGCUCUUUGAAACAGUGCACUCACCUAAAACACAGGGAUUAUAACACUCAUCCUAAAGAAUGGGUGAGGUGACUCAUGCCUGUAAUCUGGGCACUUUAAAAGGCUGGUGAGGGGGGACUGCUUGAUGCCAGGAGUUUGAGAACAGUCUGGGCAACAUAGCAGGACCCUCUCUGUACAACAAGUUAAAAAAUUUGCUGGGUGUGAUGGCAUACCUAUAGUCACACCUACUUGGGAGGCUGAGGCAGGAGGAUCACUUGAACCCAGGAUACCUCGAAUACAGUGAGCCAUGAUCAUACCUCUGCACUCAGCCUGAGUGACAGAGUGACACUGUUUCAAAAAUGAAAGAAAGCAGGGGGGCGGGGGGGGCGGGGAGAAAGAAAGAGGGAGGGAGGGAAGGAGAAGAAAGAGAAAAAGAACAAAAAGAAAGAAAGAUAAGAAAGAAAAAAAAUAAGAAAGCAAGCAAACAAUCUCUGCAUAGUCCAGGCACAGUGGUUCUUUCCUGUAAUCUCAGCACUUUGGGAAGCUGAGGUGGGUGGAUCACCUGAGGUCAGGAGUUCAAGAACAGGAUGGCCAAUAUGAUGAAACCCUGUCUCUACCAAAAAUACAAAAAAUUAGCCAGGCGCAGUGGCACGCACUUGUAAUCCCAGCUACUUGGGAGGCUGAAGCAGGCGAAUCGCUUGAACUCAGGUGGCAAAGGUUACAGUGAGCCAAGAUCGCACCACCAUACUCUAGCCUGGGUGACAGAGCAAGCCUCUGUCCAAAAAAAAAAAAAAAAAAAGAAAAAGAAAAAGAAAUGAAAAAGAAAUCACUGUAUAAAUGUAAAAAUAGAGCUGAUAUUUAAUCUGCUUAAUGUGGUGUAUUGUUUAUGUAGACCAAAAAGAGACAAAUAUUUAAUAUAACUUUAUUAAAUAGUAAAAGAAAAAAAAUUAUGUUAUGCUUAAGAAUCAGCAAGCCUGGACAGGUGCAGUGGCUCAUGCCUGUAAUCCCAGAACUUUGGAAGGCCAACACUGGCAGAUUGCUUGAGCUCAGGAGUUCAAGACCAGCCUGGGCAACAUGGUCAAACCUCCUCUCUAUAAAAAUACAAAAAUUAGUCAGGCAUGCUGGCAUGCACCUGUAGUCCCAGCUACUUGGGAAGCUGAGGUAGUAGAAUUGCUUGAGCCCAGGUGGUCAAGAUUGCAGUAGGCCAAGAUUGUGCCACUGUACUCCAGCCUGGGUGACAGAGCAAGACCUUGUCUCAAAAAAAAAAAAAAAAAAAUCAGUGAGCCUGUAGAUUAGAUUUGAGUUUUAGCAUACUGGUGGGUACACUUAAGACAAUAAGUUUUUGUCGAAUAAAGUCAUGUGAUGGGAUGCCAUUUGGUUAUCAGCUCAAAUUUUCUCUCUGCUUUAGUCUCUCUGAAAGUCAUCUUGUGAUAGAAAAAAGUGAUUAUAGCCCCUGCAGGGCAUUGGUAGCUGGAACUUUACUGUCCAGAAGGCAUACACCUGGAAUUAAAGCUCUGUGAAAGAAGCCAACAAGUCCAGACAUGUUUAAGGAGUUUAAUUGGGUGUGUUAGUCCAUUCUCACACUGCUAUAAAGAUUCUACCUGAGACUGCGUAAGUUUUGAAGAAAAGAGGUUUAGUUGACUCACAGUUCUAAAUAGCUGGGAGGUCUCAGGAAACUUGCAGUCAUGGCAGAAGGCCAAGGGGAAACAAGACACAUCUUCACAUGGUGGCAGGAGAGAGCGAGAGUGCAUGAAGUGGAAAAUGCCAUGCUUUUAAACCAUCAGAUCUCAUGAGAACUCACUCACUAUCACAAGAACAGCAAGGGGGAAAUCCACCCCAAUGAUCCAGUCAGCCCCCACCAGGCCCCUCCCCUGACACGUGGGGAUUAUAAUUUGACAAGAGAUUUGGGUGGAGAAACACAGCCAAAUCGUAUCACUUUGGUAUCAUUCUUCUUAAAGGUGUUGGAGAUAUAUAAUUAAAAACAAAAUCUCCUCUCAAUCCAAAUAACAUCUCCACAAAAAUGGAAGAAAAAGAAAACACUUUUUAUUAUUGAAUAAGCAUUCAACCAGAAUGUGAUGGACAUUGCAGGCAAUUUGCUAAAGGACUGCAAAGACAGAAAGAAAGCUCAUCCCCCUACCUAUAGUCAAGUGCACACAACCCAUUACAUACAUGUGUUCAAGAUAAACAAUCAUUAUUUCUCAAAUAAGAAAACUUGAUGGGACCUUUCGUCACAGAUGGUUUAUUGCAACUUUACCAUGGUAAUUGAGAAGACCACCUGUGUCAGCUAAUUGGCUUUAUCUGAAGAAAAAGCAAACUUUUCUUAUCUUUAGGACAAGAGGUAGUUUUGCAGAUUCGAAGGUGUCCACUGAAUUAGACCCUUACCCUCCUGUAGGAACUGGGGGUAGGGGAGAUAACUCCCUUGAUGUUUGCAUUUCUGAAAGAUGACUCCUAGGUCCUUGAGAAACAAGGACCUAGGAGUUUUUUCCUCAUCAAAAUGCUGGUGAAAGUCUUGGAAAGAACACACUUCAAAAAGAUGAAAAUGUACUUACAAGUUUCCUAAGGUAAAUGCUCUGAGAAAAAAAAGAGGGGUGGGGAAUCUUCUCCUUUAUUUUCAACAGGAAGAAUUAAACCUCUUAUGCUGAAUUUGUAAUUGCCCUUAUAAAAGCCAGUUUUUUCAGCAGAAAAAAAUACAUAUGAGAAAACAGAUGAAAAGUAUGACCACAUCUCACUCCCAACAGUGACCUGUGGGUGGCAGAAAACCUGAAUAAUGUCCCUCCCUCAUGGUUGGUUUUAGAGCCCAAGGGAAGUCCUGAGUACCUAUCUUUCCUGCAGCA
rnacentral:lncRNA from 1 species